rnacentral:rRNA from 1 species
UACGUAGGUGGCAAGCGUUGUCUGGAUCUACUGGGCGUAAAGAGCGCGCAGGCGGUCGAUCAAGUCGCGUGUGAAAGCCCCCGGCUCAACUGGGGAGGGUCACGCGAUACUGAUCGACUCGAAGGCAGGAGAGGGUAGUGGAAUUCCCGGUGUAGUGGUGAAAUGCGUAGAUAUUGGGAAGAACACCGGUGGCGAAAGCGCUCUGCUGGACCUGCACUGACACUGAGGGACGAAAGCUAGGGGAGCGAAAGGG